UACGUAGGGGGCAAGCGUUGUCCGGAUUUAUUGGGCGUAAAGAGCGUGUAGGCGGCCAGGUAGGUCCGUUGUGAAAACUAGAGGCUUAACCUCUAGACGUCGGCGGAAACCAUCUGGCUAGAGUCCGGAAGAGGAGAGUGGAAUUCCCGGUGUAGCGGUGAAAUGCGCAGAUAUCGGGAAGAACACCCGUGGCGAAGGCGGCUCUCUGGGACGGUACUGACGCUGAGACGCGAAAGCG
rnacentral:rRNA from 1 species